UAACAACAUUGGAUGAGGGUUGGA
rnacentral:miRNA from 1 species